UACGUAGGGGGCAAGCGUUGUCCGGAAUCAUUGGGCGUAAAGAGCGUGUAGGCGGCCCGAUAAGUCCGCCGUGAAAGUCCAGGGCUCAACCCUGGAAUGCCGGUGGAAACUGUCGGGCUGGAGUCCGGAAGAGGCGAGUGGAAUUCCUGGUGUAGCGGUGAAAUGCGCAGAUAUCAGGAGGAACACCAAUGGCGAAGGCAGCUCGCUGGGACGGUACUGACGCUGGAGACGGCGAAAGCGUGGGGAGCGAACAGG
rnacentral:rRNA from 1 species